rnacentral:rRNA from 1 species
CUUGAAACUUAUUAGAGAUACUUGUUUAAUAAUCGAUAAUCCUCGAAUAAUUUUACCUUUAUUUGUAAAAAUCAGUUUGUAUACCGUCAUAGAUGUAAUUUUUAUAAAAUUAUUAAUUAUUUAAAUAGACUAGAUUUAGUUAAACAUUAGAUCAAGGUGCAUCUUAUAUAAAGGGUAAAGUGAGUUAUAAUAUUAUAAAAUAUAUAUAAAUGGAUAAUUAUUUGAAAGAGUAAUUUGAAAAUGGAUUUAAUUGUAAUUAUUAAUUUUAGUAAGGAAUAAUGAUAAUAGUUCUGAAGUGUGU